GACGAACGCUGGCGGCGUGCUUAACACAUGCAAGUCGAACGGAAAGGCCCUGCUUUUGUGGGGUACUCGAGUGGCGAACGGGUGAGUAACACGUGAGUAACCUGCCCUUGACUUUGGGAUAACUUCAGGAAACUGGGGCUAAUACCGGAUAGGAGCUCCUGCUGCAUGGUGGGGGUUGGAGAGUUUCGGCGGUUGGGGAUGGACUCGCGGCUUAUCGGCUUGUUGGCGGGGUAGUGGCUGACCAAGGCUUUGACGGGUAGCCGGCCUGAGAGGGUGACCGGCAACAUUGGGACGGGGAUACGGCCCAGCCUCCUACGGGAGGCAGCAGUGGGGAAUAUGGCACAAUGGGCGGAAGCCUGAUGCAGCAACGCCGGGUGCGGGAGAACGGCCUUCGGGUGGUAAACCGCUUUCGCCUGUGACGAAGCGUGAGUGACGGUAAUGGGUAAAGAAGCACCGGCUAACUACGUG
rnacentral:rRNA from 1 species